UGAACCCUGGCUGCACGAGAGGUC
rnacentral:piRNA from 1 species